rnacentral:lncRNA from 1 species
GUCCUGCUUCUGGCUACUAUCCCGUGUCUGGUCAUGGGAACCUUACCCUGUGAGGAAACAUCCACAGAGAAUGAGUCUAGGCACCCACCUGUGCACCUGAGCUCCUCCAGCCAAGGGAGGAGCCAGAAGCAGCCACAGCAAGAUAUUGCUGGAUCCCAGCUUUGUUCCUCCGCUGCCCAGGAGUCUCAGGCACAGCUCAGCUGGCAGGAAAGGCCGACUCCUUCCCUGCUUCCCGCUCUGCCUCUGCCAGGCUCUGGGUAGGAGAAAAAAUGCCAGCUCUUUCUUGAGAGGCAGAGUUUCCAUCCCCCAUUUUCACAACCAAUUACACGGAGGCAGAGU